AUUGCGGGGUAGCAAUAUUCCGUAGUCGGAGUGGCGCAAGGGUGCGUAACACGUGGGCAAUUUGCCGUGAAGUUGGGGAUAACUUGCUGAAAGGCGAGCUAAUACCGAAUGCAACUGCCGGGAGGCAUCUCCUGGUUUUCAAAGUUGGGGACCGUAAGGCCUGACGCUUCACGAUAAGCCCGCGGCCUAUCAGCUAGUUGGUGAGGUAACGGCCCACCAAGGCUAAGACGGGUAGCUGGUCUGAGAGGACGACCAGCCUCACUGGAACUGAGACACGGUCCAGACACCUACGGGUGGCAGCAGUCGAGAAUUUUUCACAAUGGGCGAAAGCCUGAUGGAGCGACGCCGCGUGGGGGAUGAAUGGCUUCGGCCCGUAAACCCCUGUCAUUUGCGAACAAACUCUGCGAUUUAAAAGAUGGCAGAUUGAUAGUAGCGAAAGAGGAAGGGACGGCUAACUCUGUGCCAGCAGCCGCGGUAAUACAGAGGUCCCAAGCGUUGUUCGGAUUCACUGGGCGUAAAGGGUGCGUAGGUGGUCGAGUAAGUCUGAUGUGAAAUCUUCGAGCUCAACCCGAAAAUGGCAUUGGAUACUAUUCGGCUGGAGGGUUGGAAGGGGGACUGGAAUUCUCGGUGUAGCAGUGAAAUGCGUAGAUAUCGAGAGGAACACCGGUGGCGAAGGCGAGUCCCUGGACAAUCCCUGACACUGAGGCACGGAAGCUAGGGGAGCAAACAGGAUUAGAUACCCUGGUAGUCCUAGCCGUAAACGGUGCAUAUUUGCUGUAAAAGGAUUC
rnacentral:rRNA from 1 species